UAAUGUCUGGGAAACUGCCUGAUGGAGGGGGAUAACUACUGGAAACGGUAGCUAAUACCGCAUAACGUCUUCGGACCAAAGUGGGGGACCUUCGGGCCUCACGCCAUCAGAUGUGCCCAGAUGGGAUUAGCUAGUAGGUGGGGUAAUGGCUCACCUAGGCGACGAUCCCUAGCUGGUCUGAGAGGAUGACCAGCCACACUGGAACUGAGACACGGUCCAGACUCCUACGGGAGGCAGCAGUGGGGAAUAUUGCACAAUGGGCGCAAGCCUGAUGCAGCCAUGCCGCGUGUGUGAAGAAGGCCUUCGGGUUGUAAAGCACUUUCAGCGAGGAGGAAGGGUGGUGUGUUAAUAGCGCAUCACAUUGACGUUACUCGCAGAAGAAGCACCGGCUAACUCCGUGCCAGCAGCCGCGGUAAUACGGAGGGUGCAAGCGUUAAUCGGAAUUACUGGGCGUAAAGCGCACGCAGGCGGUUUGUUAAGUCAGAUGUGAAAUCCCCGCGCUUAACGUGGGAACUGCAUUUGAAACUGGCAAGCUAGAGUCUUGUAGAGGGGGGUAGAAUUCCAGGUGUAGCGGUGAAAUGCGUAGAGAUCUGGAGGAAUACCGGUGGCGAAGGCGGCCCCCUGGACAAAGACUGACGCUC
rnacentral:rRNA from 1 species